GGAAGGGAAGGAAAGAAAAGGAGGAAAAAGGAGUGGGAAGGGAAGGGAAAAGGAGGGACGGGAAGGGGAAGGUGCCAGCUUGGGAUUUCGAGCCUGGGUAGUGCCUGCUAACGGGGUUGGCCGGAGCAGCAGAGCACCGGGAGGCCCAGGGAUGUGGCGAGGCAGCCGCGGUGUCAGAAAGAGGAAGGCAGGAGGCUGAGGCCGAGGGCCCUGGAAUCUCGCACAUUCCAGGGUUCAGAAAGAUCACGGUGGGGUCCACCUCUGGAGUCCACAAAAGAAAACGUACAAUGUGGCCACAGGCCUGCUUUUCCAAACUCGUCAUGGUUACCAUUUCAUGAACGGCUUCAAGUCCAGAAUGUGCAAUUCAGCAAUUUCAAAAUGCCUGUCUGCCUGCAGGAGGAGGAGAGGACCUGGGACUGGUGUUGGAUGGCACAGUGGGUAACGACCAAUGGGUAUGAGUAGAAUCCUGUUUCCUUCUGAAGCCCUUCCUAAUUGAUAUACUUAGGGCCAUCUUCCUUAACACCCCAGACCUGCUGGUUUCGGAGCCAUCGACCUCCUCAUUUCCACCGCAGAGGGCUGGAGGAGAUUCAGAAAAUCAGGGCAGGGCCCAGGAGAAGGUUCUUUCAGAGCAUGGCUUCAGCCUGGUUACUUCUGACACCAGCCAGGAGGAACAGACUUCUUCCCCAUACAGCAGGUACCACCAGAAGUACCUGAGCAAGAUCACCCUCAGCUCCUGCAGCCUCAGGGCACCGGAGUGUCCUGUCCACGGGGCAUUUGUUACGGACAAAGAUUUGUGUGGCCUUUCACUUUGCACGCUGAAGCUUAACCCUGGCUGCAACGGGACGGGGGGCCACCAAGGAAGUCAUUAAGGUUAACUAAGGUAUAGGGUGGUGCCCUGGUUGACAGGAUGGUGGCCUUAUGAGGACACUUACAAGAUGGACGCCCACUUGUCCCCCGACCCCUCUGGCACAGGAACUGAGGAAGAGUCACAAGAGGACACAGCAGAUGUUGGUCACCUGCAGGCUAGGAAGAAAGCCCUCCCCAGGAACCUGGGUCUUGGGGACUUCCAGCCUCCACUGUGGGAAAGAAAUGCGUGUUGAUCAGUCCACCCAGUCUAUGGUGUUUUGUAACGGUGGCCAGAGCAGACAAAGACAGUAUGAAAACAUAACUUCUCCCCACACGCUGAAGUUAUAACAGCAAUGCUUUCAACAAAUUGGGCAACGCUUUUGUGGUUCCCACUGGGCGAGUGUUGAAGCUUACAAAACACAAAGGCAUUUUUGAACGUCUGGUCUUUGAGGUAUAAUUUCUAUUCAGCAAAUUCACCACUUCAGGAUGGAUGGUUCUGUGAAUUCUGAUGAAUGUAAAUGGCUGUGACCAGACAUAGAACUUUGGCCGAAUGUGGUGCCUCAUGCCUGUAAUCCCAGCACUUUGGGAGGCUGAGGUGGGCGGAUCACCUGAGGUCAGGAGUUCAAGACCAGCCUGACCAACAUGGUGAAAACCCGUCUCUACUAAAAAUACAAAAAUUAGCUGGGCGGGGAGGCAUGUGCCUGUAAUCUCAGUUAUUCAAGAGGCUGAGGCUGGAGAAUUGCUUGAACCUGGGAGGUGCAGGUUGCAGUGAGCUGAGAUCACACCAUUGCUCUCCAGCCUGGACGACAAGAGUGAAACUCUGUUUCACAAAAAGAAAAGAAAAAGACAAGACAUACAACAUUUUCAUCACCCCAAAACAUUCCCCUGUGCUUCUUAGUAAUCCAUCCUCUUCCUGGAACCCCAAACCUGGGCAACAACUCAUGCGUUCUCUGUGCUUGGAGUUUUGCCUUUCCCAGAAUGCCAUGGAAUCAUACGGUGUGCAGCGGCUCGUGUCUGGCUUCUCCAGCUCGGUGCGAUGCUCCUGAGAUCCGAGUUGUUGUGCGUGUCAGUCGGCUGCUCCUCUUCGCUGCUGUGUAGCACCGCUGUUGUGUGAAUGCACCGCAGUUUGUUCAUCGCUUCCUCUGACGAUGGACAUUUAGGUUGUUACCAGUUUUUAGCAAUUAAAAAGAAAGCCACCAUAAACACUGGGUACUGGUUUUCACGUGGACGUAUGUUUCUGUGCAGUCCUGUUUUGAUUAAAAUGUGAACUCGUCUACUGCCGUGGUAGGCAAUUUUUGGAUGACUUGGGGCCUAAAUGAAGAGAAUGCAGGCGCUUGCUGUGUUCUCCCUUUCUGUAGUCUGGGACUGCCAUGGAAGUCGUGUGGUUUCUUUGGGCAGGAUGGUGGGUAAUGCGGGAAUUCUUUUAUCUAUGCCCUGUUCCAUCUCAUAUGCAUGUCCCCUCCAGUGCCCAAAAGUUUGCAAACACUUAGAGCAGCGAUCAGAUGUUUUGCUCUACUGACCCCAAAUAAAUACAUGCUGUUUGCAAAGAACAGAGGCAAGGAGGCUUUCUCUCCCAUUUCACGACCCCGCUUGGCAGAGAAAAGAAAAGCAUUAGGUUGCUGAAUUCUAAUGCUUUGCU
rnacentral:lncRNA from 1 species